UGUAGACUCCUUUUGCCCCCUGUUAUGACUUGGUGCCAUAGCGGACGACACGUCAUCGGCCGCAUCCACGAGUAUAUAUGCUCCAGCGAAACCAGAGAUCUACUUGUACAGUAGGAACGUACCUUCACCGUCAGCAACCGGCUGGAAAUGAAAGCACCCGAACUCUGCUGUGCGUGAGAACCACGUCGACUUUGCGAGCCAAAGGCUUUGGGCACCGCGGCCCAUGUCUCUCGUUUCUACUCUGACCUCAUGUGAUAAACUUCUACGUCCCUAUCUUCCCUCGCUGAGUCUUCUUCGGCAUGCUACCACGCCACGAGUCGCAACACCCAUUACUUGCGCUGGAAUGUCAGCACAGGGCACCUGCUCUCUUAUGUCUUUCCGCGGAGGACAAUUUCUCUGUGCAUCUUGUACCAUGCUACCAGUUCGUGGUCUCCUCGGCAAAGUUCGAGCCACCAACCCUGGAAUCGAAAAGCGCUCCUGGCAGGCUGCUCCAUACGCUGACAUGCAUGGCUACCCGCCCAUCGGAUGCCGCGGAAACGAAGACAACGAAGCCAUGAGCCUUCCACUAUACUUCCACGGAAAGGAACAAGACGUCGCACAGAGCAAAGCCAAGGAAGUGUGGAAGCGCGAGAGCAACGGAAUGUUGUGUUUCAUCAGAAGUUCUUCUGUGGUGGAUUUCUUUGCAGGAUCGUUACUUCUCAAGGCGAUGUCUGCGCAGAGCGUCGAGGAAGCGUCGCGGGACCCUUUUGUGGAUUAAACAUCCGUCAUCAAUGGCAGGAGGAAGGUCUUUCUUGGCGUCAGUCGUCUUCGGGGAUCGACGUCCACUUUUGAAACAUGACUGCAACUCAAAUGUGUCUUCGAUCCAUUUGGGCUGGACACUUCGAAAGCUGUUUGCAGAGAUGUCACCGGAGCAGAAUGUAGGCAGCAUACUAGAGGGCAAGAAGCUUCACCAGGGUUGAAGCACACCUAUGAGGUCCCUGUUGGAUCCUUGUUCGUUUUACCCGCACAGCCCAUCACAUUUUCUGGGAAUAUACGGGCCUCGUUCAAAGAAGUGGCUAUUGUCCACUAAAAGCUGGUAGUUACACAAGGGGUGUGUUCAACAGUCGUUAGUAAUGCCAUUAAAUAUUGUAUACAUACGUA